rnacentral:rRNA from 1 species
CCUACGGGUGGCAGCAGUGAGGAAUAUUGGUCAAUGGCCGGAAGGCUGAACCAGCCAUGCCGCGUGAAGGUCAGUGCCCUAUGGGCGGUAAACUUCUUUUGUUCGGGAGCAAUCAUGGUCACGUGUGGCCCGACGAGAUUACCGUUCUAAUCAGCAUCGGCUAACUCCGUGCCAGCAGCCGCGGUCAUACGGGGGGUGCAAGCGUUAUCCGGAUUUAUUGGGUUUAAAGGGUGCGUAUGCGGUGAGGUAAGUCAGCGGUGAAAUGCCACCGCUCAACGGGGUGAAGUGCCAUUGAUACUGCGUGGCUGGAAGGAGGAUGCGGCGGGAGGAAUGUGUGGGGAAGCGGAGAAAGGGA